UACGAAGGGGGGCUAGCGUUGCUCGGAAUCACUGGGCGUAAAGGGCGCGUAGGCGGACUUUUUAAGUCAGGGGUGAAAUCCUGAGGCUCAACCUCAGAACUGCCUUUGAUACUGAGGGUCUCGAGACCGGUAGAGGUAAGUGGAACUGCGAGUGUAGAGGUGAAAUUCGUAGAUAUUCGCAAGAACACCAGUGGCGAAGGCGGCUUACUGGACCGGUUCUGACGCUGAGGCGCGAAAGCGUGGGGGAGCAAACAGG
rnacentral:rRNA from 1 species